UUUAAUGCCCACCAUAGAGUAACAUUUAAUAACAUAAAGAUAUAUAUAUAUGGGAAAAGUAGGACGUAAUAUUAAAUCACAAGGCUAAAGAAAGAAUUAUAGUGAUGCCAGGUGGAGGUAUAAAUGAGAUCAAUAUUUCCAGAAUUCUACAACAGUCCAAAGCCAUGGAAUUUCAUUGUUCAGCUAGAACAUCAAGACCGUCUUUGAUGCAAUUCCAAAAAGCAGGCAUACCAAUGGGCACUGCAUUAUUUCCACCAGAAUAUAGCACAAAAGUAACAGAAGUGGCAAAAGUUUAACAUUUUAUUAGUUUGUCAGAUAAUUGUCUUAUGGAUAUGGAAUAAUCAUGUUCUCUACCCUAUCCUAUUUGCCAUAUGAGCUGUUGUCAUCAUUUUGCGUCUGUUAUUGUGAUCUGUUAUAAACUUUAAAAAAAAAAUCUUCUAUGAAACUGCUGGAGUAAUUUCAACAACACUUGGAAUGAAUGAUCAUAAGGAUAUCUAGUUUACAGUUAGUGAUUUUUUGUUCUUGCCAAUGAACCAACAUUACUGACAUUGCUAAUAAAAAACCAUAAGGGUCAAAUGCAAACAAAAUGUCAAAUAUCUUGCGAAAGAAAUUGUGACAGGAGCCAAAUACUUUAAUAUUAAACAAAAUUAUCAGACAACUCAGGUAUAAUUGUAAUAAAAUGGAUUUUUUUUUCAA